AUUGAACGCUGGCGGCAUGCCUUACACAUGCAAGUCGAACGGCAGCACGGGGGCAACCCUGGUGGCGAGUGGCGAACGGGUGAGUAAUAUAUCGGAACGUACCCGGAAAUGGGGGAUAACGCAGCGAAAGUUGCGCUAAUACCGCAUAUGCCCUGAGGGGGAAAGCGGGGGAUCCGCAAGGACCUCGCGUUUUCGGAGCGGCCGAUAUCGGAUUAGCUAGUAGGUGGGGUAAAGGCCUACCUAGGCGACGAUCCGUAGCUGGUCUGAGAGGACGACCAGCCACACUGGAACUGAGACACGGCCCAGACUCCUACGGGAGGCAGCAGUGGGGAAUCUUAGACAAUGGGCGCAAGCCUGAUCCAGCCAUGCCGCGUGAGCGAUGAAGGCCUUAGGGUUGUAAAGCUCUUUCAGGGGGGAAGAUAAUGACUGUACCCUCAGAAGAAGCCCCGGCUAACUCCGUGCCAGCAGCCGCGGUAAUGUACAGU
rnacentral:rRNA from 1 species